AGUGGAUGGGGAGCAACCUAUGUUGCGCGUGUGUAAAGGUAGUGCCAAGAAAAGCGAUGAUCAUGUUGAAAAUCAAUUCCCGGUACCCGAAACCGACACAGGUGGGCAAGUAGAGAAUACUAAGGGGCGCGAGGUAACUCUCUCCAAGGAACUCGGCAAAAUGACCCCGUAACUUAGGGAGAAGGGGUGCCACCGAGAGGUGGUCGCAGUGAAGAGGCCCAGGCGACUGUUUAGCAAAAACAUAGGUCUCUGCAAACUCGAAAGAGGAGGUAUAGGGGCUGACGCCUGCCCAGUGCCGGAAGGUUAAAGAAGUUGGUCAGUUUUAGGAUGAAGCUAGCGACUGAAGCCCCGGUGAACGGCGGCCGUAACUAUAACGGUCCUAAGGUAGCGAAAUUCCUUGUCGGGUAAGUUCCGACCCGCACGAAAGGCGUAACGAUCUGGGCGCUGUCUCGGAGAGAGGCUCGGCGAAAUAGGAUUGUCUGUGAAGAUACGGACUACCUGCAUUUGGACAGAAAGACCCUAUGAAGCUUUACUAUAGCUUGGAAUUGUGUUCGGGCUUCCUGUGCGCAGGAUAGGUGGGAGGCGUAGAAGGUAUUCUUGUGGGGAUACUGGAGCCAACGGUGAGAUACCACUCUCAGGAGGCUAGAAUUCUAACUUAAUUAAGGACAGUUUCAGGUGGGUAGUUUGACUGGGCGGUCGCCUCCAAAAAGGUAACGGAGGCGUACAAAGGUUCCCUCAGACUGGUUGGAAAUCAGUCGAAGAGUGCAAAGGCAGAAGGGAGCUUGACUGCGAGAAGUACAGUUCGAGCAGGGUGGAAACACGGUCUUAGUGAUCCGACGGUGCUGUGUGGAAGGGCCGUCGCUCAACGGAUAAAAGUUACUCUAGGAUAACAGGCUGAUCUCCCCCAAGAGUUCACAUCGACGGGGAGGUUUGGCACCUCGAUGUCGGCUCAUCGCAACCUGGGGCGGAAGUACGUCCCAAGGGUUGGGCUGUUCGCCCAUUAAAGCGGUACGUGAGCUGGGUUCAGAACGUCGUGAGACAGUUCGGUCCAUAUCCGAUGUAGGCGUGAGAAUAUUGAGAGGAGCCUUCCUUAGUACGAGAGGACCGGGAAGGACGCACCGCUGGUGUACCUGUUAUGAUGCCAAUUGUAAACGCAGGGUAGCCAAGUGCGGAGAGGAUAACCGCUGAAAGCAUCUAAGUGGGAAGCCCACCUCAAGAUGAGUAUUCUGGUGUAAGGUCACGGGAAGACGACCCGUAAAUAGGCACGAGGUGGAAGUGCAGAGAUGUAUGAAGCCGAAGUGUACUAAUAGACCGUCGGCUUGACC
rnacentral:rRNA from 1 species